GGGAGCAGAUGGGUGCUGGUGUGCCCCCUGGUCUUCAAAACCAGUGCGGGUGGUGAAGAGCUGCCUAGGUGGGUUCGAUUCCCACAUGUUCCCGCCA
rnacentral:tRNA from 1 species